UGGUCCCGUAGUGUAGCGGUUAUCACGUCGCCCUGUCACGGCGAAGAUCGCGGGUUCGAUUCCCGUCGGGACCGU
rnacentral:tRNA from 1 species